UCGCGAAAACUUUGCAAUACACGCAAGUGUGACAGGGUCAUCCCGAGUGCCGACCGCUGAGGUUGGCUUUUACCCAGUCUAGAAAGCUGGGGGAAUAAGGAGAGGGCAAGUCUGGUGUCAGCCGCCGCGGUAAUACCAGCUCUCCGAGUGGUGUGGACGUUUAUUGGGCCUAAAGCAUCCGUAGCUGGCUGAACAAGUCCCCUGUUAAACCCACCGAUUUAAUCGUUGGCUUGCGGGGGAUACUGCUCGGCUAGGGGACGAGAGAGGCAGACGGUAUUCCCGGGGUAGGGGUGAAAUCCUAUAAUCCCGGGAAGACCACCAGUGGCGAAGGCUGUCUGCUAGAACGCGCCCGACGGUGAGGGAUGAAAGCUGGGGGA
rnacentral:rRNA from 1 species